ACUGCGGAGGAUCAUUAUUGAACAAUCCAAUUCACGUAGUAAUGGCGUUGUACCUGGCUCUAGUAGCAUGUGCACGCGCCGCACUACAGUUGUUCAACCUCCACCUGUGCACACUUUGUACACUGUCUCAAGACGUUAAUCACCCUUCAAGGGUGGAUUAGAGAGGGAGUUGCUUAACGCUUUCUCUUGAACAUUUCGUAGUCUACGUUUCAUACACUCGUUGAAUGUCAUGGAAUGUCAGUUGUAUUCAAACAAAUAUAACUUUCAGCAACGGAUCUCUUGGUUCUCGCAUCGAUGAAAAACGCAGCGAAAUGCGAUAAGUAAUGUGAAUUGCAGAAUUCAGUGAAUCAUCGAAUCUUUGAACGCACCUUGCGCUCCUUGGUAUUCCGAGGAGCAUGCCUGUUUGAGUGUCAUUAACUUCUCAACCCUUUCCGUUUUGUAAUGAAAUGUGAAAGCGAUUGGAUUGUGGAGGCUAUUGCGGGCUUCACCAUUGAAGUCGGCUCCUCUGAAAUACAUUAGCGGAGACUUGUAGACUAUCUUCCCUUGGUGUGAUAAUUAUCUACGCCUUGGUUGUCUACACGGAUUGCUCUGCUUUCAAACCGUCUCGCGAGAGACUACACUUGACAUCUUGACCUCAAAUCAGGUAGGACUACCCGCUGAACUUAAGCAUAUCAAUAAGCGGAGGAAAAGAAACUAACAAGGAUUCCCCUAGUAACUGCGAGUGAAGCGAGAAGAGCUCAAAUUUACAUCUGGCAGCCUUUGGCUGUCCGAGUUGUAAUUUAGAGAAGUGCUAUCCGUGCUGGACCGUGUAUAAGUUUCCUGGAAAGGAGCAUCAUAUAGGGUGACAAUCCCGUCUUUGACACGGACUACCAGUGCUUUGUGAUACGCUCUCUAAGAGUCGAGUUGUUUGGGAAUGCAGCACUAAAUGCGUGGUAAAUUCCAUCUAAGCUAAAUAUUGACGAGAGACCAAUAGCGAACAGACCCGUAAUCCCUUAUAUGGGACGAACCGGGAUGAUUGUGUCAUCAUUGCUAAAAGUCGAAUCUGUUUGGAAGUGCAAGUAUAAUGCGGGUAAUUUCCUCCUCUAGCUAAACUACGUAGAGA
rnacentral:rRNA from 1 species